rnacentral:rRNA from 1 species
AGCGAACGCUGGCGGCGUGCCUAACCAUGCAAGUCGAACGGUUCUGUUGGGGGCUUGCUCUCGACAGAGUAGUGGCAAACGGGUGAGUAACACGUGGGUAAUCUCCUUCGAGUGAGGAAUAACUUCGGGAAACCGGAGCUAAUACCGCAUAACAUCUUGGAACGGCAGUUUCAAGAUCAAAGGGGGCGCAAGCUCCCGCUUGAAGUUGAGCUCGCGUCCUAUCAGCUAGUUGGUGAGGUAAUGGCUCACCAAGGCUCCGACGGGUAGCCGGCCUGAGAGGGUGGCCGGCCACACUGGGACUGAGACACGGCCCAGACUCCUACGGGAGGCAGCAGUGGGGAAUAUUGCGCAAUGGACGAAAGUCUGACGCAGCGACGCCGCGUGGGUGAUGAAGGCCUUCGGGUCGUAAAGCCCUGUUGAGGGAGAGAAAGCUACUGUCGGUUAAUACCCGGCAGUGGUGAUAGUAUCCCUAGAGAAAGCACCGGCUAACUACGUG